rfam:Harpegnathos saltator strain R22 G/1 HarSal_1.0_2.contig5362, whole genome shotgun sequence.
GGGGGCGUAGCUCAGACGGUAGAGCGCUCGCUUUGCAUGCGAGAGGUACCGGGAUCGGUACCCGGCGCCUCCA